GUUUGUGUUGCUUUGUCAGGUGCCCGUGCUGUCGCUUGGCAAGAAUCAGAAGUUGAAAACAAACUGAAGCAAGCGGGAGCACGGGCGCAGCUGGGAACGAGAAUCCGUUCCAGCUGUGAAAAGACACCGAAGUUCUUUUUAGCGUACGGAAAAUGGAAGGAAGUUUCAUUUCGUUCAGCUCAGAAAACUGGUGCCCGUCACUCUUUAGCCGCUCGUUUCAACAC